rnacentral:rRNA from 1 species
AACGAACGCUGGCGGCAGGCUUAACACAUGCAAGUCGAACGCCCCGCCAGGGGAGUGGCAGACGGGUGAGUAACGCGUGGGAACAUACCCUUUUCUACGGAAUAGCUCUGGGAAACUGGAAUUAAUACCGUAUACGCCCUACGGGGGAAAGAUUUAUCGGGGAAGGAUUGGCCCGCGUUGGAUUAGCUAGUUGGUGGGGUUAAGGCCUACCAAGGCGACGAUCCAUAGCUGGUCUGAGAGGAUGAUCAGCCACAUUGGGACUGAGACACGGCCCAAACUCCUACGGGAGGCAGCAAUGGGGAAUAUUGGACAAUGGGCGCAAGCCUGAUCCAGCCAUGCCGGGUGAGUGAUGAAGGCCUUAGGGUUGUAAAGCUCUUUCACCGAUGAAGAUAAUGACGGUAGUCGGAGAAGAAGCCACGGCUAACUUCGUG